CAACUGACCCAGACAAGGCUUGAACAUCGCUACCCACUGCGCCACCGCACAGCUAUUUGACUAAUGAUGUUCCAAGGAAAAGCCAAAAACAUGAUGCGUCUCUCAAGGCUCGAGGUAGAGAGGAUGCUAAUAAGGAAAAGCAAAGUUAACAGCACAAACACUAACCAUAUGCUGCCUCUGCAUGGAUGAAAUCCUGCAAUUCAAAGCAGCUGAUUCCAUUUGGAUGAGUCUCCAGACAUCUGCCAACGAGACACCGGAUCCGCUCAAUUCUCUCUCCGAGCUGAAGAAAUAAAUGCACUUCAACUCUCAGGCCAUUAAAAUGAAGGAUGAACUGCCUAGGGGCCGAUGACCGAGGGUCUUUUUUAAUAGACUUCGGUGCCAGAGGUCCACCAAUGCUGUCAUGCUUUCUCGUCCUGAAGAAUAACCUGCGUCACCUUUGUCAGAUCAUUGGUAAAGCUGUCGUCAAGAUCGGAUAAUUGCUUCCAAUGAUCCCCUAUAUCCUUGUGUUUUGAAACAUUGCUUUUCAGCCACUUCCAAUAAACAAAUACGUCUGUUA